AGCAGCCGCGGUAAUUCCAGCUCCAAUAGCGUAUAUUAAAGUUGUUGCAGUUAAAAAGCUCGUAGUUGAAUUUCGGGAUUGGCGCAUCGGUCGUGCCUCACGGGGUAUGAACUGGUGCAGUCAAUUUCUCACCUUCUGGAGAACCGCGAUGUCCUUAAUUGGAUGCCGCGGGGAACCAGGACCUUUACUUUGAAAAAUUAGAGUGUUUAAAGCAGGCAUUUUUGCUUGAAUACAUUAGCAUGGAAUAAUAAAAUAGGACGGCAUGGUUCUAUUUUGUUGGUUUCUAGGACCACCGUAAUGAUUAAUAGGGAUAGUUGGGGGCAUUAGUAUUCAAUUGUCAGAGGUGAAAUUCUUGGAUUUAUUGAAGACUAACUACUGCGAAAGCAUUUGCCAAGGAUGUUUUCAUUAAUCAAGAACGAAAGUUAGGGGAUCGAAGACGAUCAGAUACCGUCGUAGUCUUAACCAUAAACUAUAGCCGACUAGGAAUCAGACGAUGUUAAUUUUUAAUGUACUCGUUUGG
rnacentral:misc_RNA from 1 species